rnacentral:rRNA from 1 species
GACGAACGCUGGCGGCGUGCUUAACACAUGCAAGUCGAACGGAGUGGCGAACGGGUGAGUAACACGUGGGUGAUCGGCCUUGCACUUCGGGAUAAGCUUGGGAAACUGGGUCUAAUACUGGAUAGUGCAAGAUGAGCUGUCUGCCUAUCAGCUUGUUGGUGGGGUAAUGGCCUACCAAGGCGUCGACGGGUAGCCGGCCUGAGAGGGUGUACGGCCACGUUGGGACUGGGAUACGGCCCAGACGCAUACUGGAGGCAGCAGUGGGGAAUAUUGCACAAUGGGCGGAAGCAUGAUGCAGGGACGCCGCGUGGGGGAUGAAGGCCUUUGGGUUGUAACCUCCUUUCGACAGGGACGCGGUACCUGUAUAAGAAGCACCGGCUAACUACGUGCCAGCAGCCGCGGUAAUUC